GCCCUGGUUGAUUAAUGGAAAUCACCCACACCCAUUAGGAAAACCGUAGAGCAGAUUAAUGUGAGAGACGGGGGUUCGAAUCCUCCCCAGGGCA